rnacentral:lncRNA from 1 species
UCUCAUAUUGUACGGAAUGCCUCCCAAUUUUUCCUCUAUGUCAGUUAUGACAUUAAAGUCUCCAACUGUACACCAAGGAGAAGUGUCUCUAGUAUCAGCGAAAUGAAGUAAUCUGUCCCAAAGAGGUUCCCUGAGAUAAUCCUUACAUUUGGCAUACACAAAGGUCAUGAUAUAAUUGCCCUGAACUUCAGUAUGGUUGAUUUCACACGUAACCUGCUGUUCAUCAGCUUCUAAAACAGUACAAGAGACGUCAGUGUUCCAAAAAAGCCAAAUUUUUCCAUUGGUGNNN